rnacentral:rRNA from 1 species
UACGAAGGGGGCUAGCGUUGUUCGGAAUCACUGGGCGUAAAGGGCGCGUAGGCGGCUUUAUAAGUCGGGGGUGAAAGCCUGUGGCUCAACCACAGAAUUGCCUUCGAUACUGUAGAGCUUGAGACCGGAAGAGGUAAGUGGAACUGCGAGUGUAGAGGUGAAAAUUCGUAGAUAUUCGCAAGAACACCAGUGGCGAAGGCGGACUUACUGGUCCGGUUCUGACGCUGAGGCGCGAAAGCUAGGGGAGCAAACGGG